CGAGGGUUCUACUGUCUCCUUUCUCUAAUCAGUGAAACUAAUCUCCCCGUGAAGAAGCGGGGAUACUACUAUAAGACGAGAAGACCCCAUGGAGCUUUAAACCCAACUACAACCCUACUUUCCAUGCCCACUCAACCAACAGGGCCCUGUACGCUUGGUUUUAGGUUGGGGUGACCACGGAGUAAAAUUAAACCUCCACGAUGAACGGGAAUUCCCUCUUAUCUAAGAGCCACACCUCUAAGAAUUAGCACACUAACAUAAUAUGAUCCGAUACUCGAUCAACGAACCAAGUUACCCUGGGGAUAACAGCGCAAUCCAUUUCAAGAGCCCCUAUCGACAAGUGGGUUUACGACCUCGAUGUUGGAUCAGGAUAUCCCAGUGGUGCAGCAGCUACUAAAGGUUCGUUUGUUCAACGAUUAAAAUCCU
rnacentral:rRNA from 1 species